GAAAUGCGAUAAGUAAUGUGAAUUGCAGAAUUCAGUGAAUCAUCGAAUCUUUGAACGCACAUUGCGCCCUCUGGUAUUCCGGGGGGCAUGCCUGUUCGAGCGUCAUUAUAACCACUCAAGCUCUCGCUUGGUAUUGGGGUUCGCGGUUCCGCGGCCCCUAAAAUCAGUGGCGGUGCCUGUCGGCUCUACGCGUAGUAAUAUUCCUCGCGUCUGGGUCCGGUAGGUCUACUUGCCAGCAACCCCCAAUUUUUACAGGUUGACCUCGGAUCAGGUAGGGAUACCCGCUGAACUUAA
rnacentral:misc_RNA from 1 species